UACGUAGGGUGCAAGCGUUAAUCGGAAUUACUGGGCGUAAAGCGUGCGCAGGCGGUUCGCUAAGACAGAUGUGAAAUCCCCGGGCUUAACCUGGGAACUGCAUUUGUGACUGGCGGGCUAGAGUAUGGCAGAGGGGGGUAGAAUUCCACGUGUAGCAGUGAAAUGCGUAGAGAUGUGGAGGAAUACCGGUGGCGAAGGCAGCCCCCUGGGCCAAUACUGACGCUCAUGCACGAAAGCGUGGGGAGCAAACAGG
rnacentral:rRNA from 1 species